CCUCUAUGGGAAUAUUUAAGGUUAAAGGAGGUCAUAAGGGUAGGGCCCUGAUCUGGUAGAAUUGGUGUCCUUAUAAGAAGAGACACCCAGAGACCUAGCUCUUUCUUUCUCUCUCUCCCUCUCUCUCUCUCCCCCCCUCCCCUCCCCUCCCCUCCCCCACACAUAGGAAAGGUCACAUGAGUACACAGUGAGAAGGCAGCUGUCUGCAACUCAGGGAGAGAGCUCUCACCAGAUACCAACAGUGCAGAUCUUGACCUUCUGGAGCAGUUACGGGCAGACUUAUAGGAGAUGAGAUCAGAGAUAAUACGGAGCUAAGUCAUGAUCACUCUUCGUGCUGGGUAUAUCCUAAAGGGAGUCAAGGUUGGAAGAAAGGAGAGCAGUUAAAAGGUUAUCCUACUAUAUUAAGAACUAUGUAUCUAGAUCAUUGGAUUUUCCCAAAGAAGUACAUUCUUUUA